ACAAUGUUCCAGUUCAUUCUGCUUGGAGCUGUCCUGAUAAGUGCAAGUUUUGCCGAAUCGCCCACGACCAGUACAAGUUCCUCCUCCAGCUCGCCCCCAGCGAAAGAAAAAGUUGAAAUAACCUUUUGUCGACACGAAAAUAAGAAGAUCGAAAUCGGAGCAAAGGUCUACAAGGGAUGCGAGGAAUGCACAUGCACGACCAAGCCCUAUAUCAGCUUCAUGGGACCCGCGGAUCAAGGACAAGUGGUAUGCAGCGAGGGUACUUUCUGUUGUCUGUUCAUUGACAACGAAGGUAAAACUCAGCGAGCUUACACCGGUGACAAAUACAGUGAUGGUUGUAACACAUGUACAUGUAAAAAGGACAUGAGUGUUGAAGAUUGCACUCAGCAAUGGUGUAAGAACAUGUGUCCGUAUUAUACUGUGGAUAAUAUCGUGAAUCAUACCAAACUGGAAAAGUUAUUGCGAUUGACGACGCAGUCGGCAAAAAGAAAUGUCCCAGAAAGUGCAAAUGCACGCGAUCAGGAAGAAUUAAGUGCACAGGACGCUGCAUUAACGAGAGUCCCAUGGGCAUUUUUGGUUAGGUUAAUAAUUUUAAGGCGGGCGAAUUAGUAAUAGCCCUGUGUUAAAGUUUAAACAAAAA